ACAAAAUAACGGCUUAUAUAGUGAUGGCCGAUUUCAAAACACUGCUUCAUGAAGCUUCGGAGCAUUAUGAAUCUUUUGUGUCGAAUCAGUGGUUCGGAGCGCCAAAGUCACGUGAUUUCAGCAGUUUGGUGGUUUGACACGCGAUCCGAAUCAUGAUUGGACACGCUGAUUCAUAACGCUCCGAAGCAGUGUUUUGAAAUCGGCCAUCACUAUAUAAGUCGUUAUUUUGUUUUUUUUGGUGCACCAAAAAUAUUCUCGUCGCUUUAUAAUAUUAAUAUUGAACCACUGUACUCACAUGAACUGAUUUAAAUAUGUUUUUAGUACAUUAAUGGAUCUUGAGAGAGGAAAUGUCAUUGCUGGCUAUGGAGGCCUCACUGAGCCAUCGGAUUUCAACAAAAAUAUCUUAAUUUGUGUUCCGAAGAUCAAAGAAGGUCUUACGGGUGUGGAACGGCAUGAGGGUGAGUAAUAAAUGACAUUAUUUUCAUUUUUGGGUGAACUAACCCUUUAAUAUCCUAAUGAUUUUUGGCAUAAAAGAAAAAUUGAUAACUUUGACCCAUACAAUGUAUUGUUGGCUAUUGCUACAAAUAUACCCGUGCGACUUAUGACUGGUUUUGUGUUCCAGGGUCACAUAUAACAUUGUUCUAAUGGUUUUUGAAUAUAUUAAUCCAAAAAUCAUACAUAUUGUGCCUUUAAAUAGUAUUUAUUGGAGUGGCCACAUUUAUGUAAUGUCAUAUAUACUCAUACAUCACUAUUCUUCCUUGUUUUAUAUGUUUUUGUUCAUUCAACAGUCACUGAUGCAAUCACUAUGCGAUCUGAGUCUUGUCAAUAGCAUUUAAAUGCCUGCAUACCCUGUGUAAGCUUUUUGCAAAUGACUUGACCUACAAGUGGCAGUGGAGUGUUGUCUGUGUCUGUAGUGAUAGAACAGAAGAAGAAAAAACAUGCUGUAGCCAAUUAGAUCACUUUAUGAUCUGUGUCAUAAAGUGACAGAGAAUAUGCUCUUCUUUCAUGAUUUCUGUUUUUUUUUUUUUUCACCCUUUCACACACAGAGGCUCAGGAGAAAGCAGAGAGAGAUAGUUUGCAUAUGGCGGCCAUCCAUAUCCCUUCAGUGGCAUUUUUGAGAUCAGCCCCGGAAAUGCCUCAGAACUGGGGGAGACUUUCAAAUUCAAAGAGGCUAUAGCUCUGGGUACGACAGACUUUGCAGAGGAGGACAUUGAUAAAAUAAUGGAGGAGCUAGGAAAGGAGUUCAAGGGGAACGCCUACCACCUGAUGCACAAAAACUGCAACCAUUUUUCUUCCUCGCUGUC